GGUUAAUAAUUCUCCACGUUUAAUUGAUAUUAUUUAUAUCAUACAGCUACGGCUGGAUUGAGACGAAACUAAUAGCGUUGCAUCUUUUGUAUUAUUUCCAAGGAAAUCACCCACAGUUUGGGCACCUUGGUUUGGUUUUUCUUUUUACGCACCAACUUGAUUCCACGAGGGUUUUCACGACUGGCUAGCGAGGUUCCUGUUCAAACCAAUUGAUCAGCUAAGGGGAAGCCACGUGGUUGGGCCUUCUGGUUGUGCGGCAGAUCCUGGCGUAGGGGAUUUUUUUGGGACCCUUACGAAUAAAAGCUAAGUACCAAACUCUUUAUUAGCUCCCUCUCGUUCCUGCGUACUUAAUAAAUAUUGUACCUAUUUUUUUUGUUGCUUCUGAUUAGUUUUAGUUAAAGACCAUUUAUUUAGUAAUUAUAAGUAUCAUUUAUAUCGUGGGUACCCCGUUUUUCAUUUAUAUUAAAUUUUAGUAGAGUAGGUAAUUUUUUAGUCUAGGUUACACUAACUGGUCAUCUAACGGGUAACCAGUAUUAUCAAUUAUUGCAAAUAUUUAAUUUAUAAUAUAGUCAUUUUAAUUUCUCUAUAUUAUUGUAAUAAUUAUUUAAACCAUUUUAAAUUGUAUUGUUUCAAAUGAUGAGCUACCCUACAUCUGAAUAAACGUCUGUCUUGUUAA